ensembl:lncRNA
GAAAACACAUACUGAUUAUUUUUAAAGCAACACACACACUGAUUAUUUUUAAAGCAACACACACAUAGUCAGACAGAAAAAGUAACUAAGUAACGGUAAAUUACAAAUUUAUAGAACUGCACGCACAUAGAAUUUAAAAUUAUAUAGAAAGGCAUAGAUAAGUGAUUAGAUACCAUAGCUACAAGUAACGGUAAGGAUUGUUUAGAAUUCCUCAAAAGAAGUGUCGGAAACGAGCGGGAGAUUACCGUAAUAGGAGAACAAAGAGAAUGGAAGGGAGGCGUCCGAAAUCUGACUCAGACAAAGAACCUGAAUGGAAGCUAAUAUAGCCAGGAAGGGUUUUAAAUUAGGACGAUUCUCUGGGAAUUCCCGGUGUCGAAGUUUUGGGACUACGGACAAUUAUAAUAAUAAUGUUGAGAAAAAUGGAUAAGAUUUUAUGCACUACAGGUGAACUACAGGUGAAGUCACUCAAUCCAGUCCCAUAGACUUGUUGGGGGGACCAUACCAAGGACUCCUGGUGACAGCUAGCUGAAAGAGCUACCCGGAUUCAUAUCGCACUGCGGGAGGGUAAGGCACACUGACACUGUCGAACAAUAACAGAGUUCGAGAGGAGAACUGGAAUUAACAGAAUUCUGGGGGCCAUCUCUCGAAUGAAAAAUACCUUACCUGUCCUUUCCUCACUGUUGUUGUUCAUAGAAGUGAAGAUGUGUCUGGCUCUUGCUAAGUGAUGUGUUCUCGGGGAGAGGGUGGGGCUUCACAUGGAAGCUGUUCGUCUGAGCUGUCUUAUCGUGGGUGACAUAUUCCUGAUACAGCACGUCCUACUCGAGUAUGCGGAGAGUGGGAAUUUGACCCAUGGUUUAGACGAUGAGGAUUUUGUUCCAAAAUAAGCAUAAGAGAUCCCUAGAUCUGGGUAGACAGGAAGUUAGAGUAGAGGUUGGGAAGGAUCUCUCAAUGGAGUUUUAAGUAGACCAAAAUGGAGUCUCUAACUACAUGACAGUCUAGGACUCUGAGCCAUUAUGGCAUAUAUCGGUGCAGGUUCCCAUAUUGAUCGUGGACACAGGUCAUAGCUCAUUGGGAGAGAGGGCUAUAUGAAUCCACUCACCCAGUAUGGAAGAAGGUAGAGUAUAGUGAAGGUGAGAGUUUUUGAUUGUAAUCAGGAGAGAGGGAUGAAUUGCAUAAAGAUACGCUUAACCCUUUAAAUAGAAAUGAAGGAGGAUCUAGGGUUGUGGUAUGGAUAUGACCAAGUCUUGGUCGACACCCUAGUACGGCUCUGGGUAGAGGAGUUUGGGCCGGUAUGGUAAAGCUGUUCACGAAAGCAGGAAUGCCAGAUAAUGACAGUUGUAUUGAUUUGCACUAUUUAAAUCCCCAGGUUCCUCCCUUUACAGUGACCGGAGGAGAUUAUUACCGUUUGGCCCGGUACAGUACUCUUGGGAAAUGAUGUCAGGGCGAGGUUUUACCAACAGAUUGGACAGGAUUAUGCUCCAUUGUAAUGCCUCUGACACUCAUUCAACACCAAGACAUGAAGUAUAGCCAAAUGGGAGAAAAGAGCUACUCCAUCCGGGUCUCUUAUUGACUAAGUACACAUUGAUAACAUUGGGGUUCCAAGGGAGGUGCCAGAUGAGUCAAAGCAAGAAAUCAGAUCCUAGCAGGAUUAGAGUUAAGCAUUUCCGGGGCUCUACUCUCAUAAGAACGUGGACUGGAUUAAUUAUAUUUAUGAUAAUCAACAGCGCUUUAACAGGUAUACCAGAGAUGUUAUUAAAGGUUUUGUAGAACAGACUGAAGCAACCAGCUGGAAGGUUUGGCAGAAUAGAAUUGCAUUAGAUAUGUUAAUGGCUGAAAAGGGAGAAGUAUGCGUGAUAAUCAGGACCAUGUUUGUACUUACAUCCCAAAUAACACAGCUCCGGACGAAUCAGUGCCCGAAGCCUCAGCUGGUUUGACCACCCUGGCUCACGGGUUGGCAGAAACUCUGGGGUGGAUACUUCUCUGACUGAUUGGGUUUUGAUAAUCCGUUUGGAAAAUGGAAAAAUGUUAUGAUCACUGUGUUAUGGGCUACAUUCACCUGUGUGACUGUGUUAGUUUUGUACGGACGUGGUUGAUUGCGUGUAUGUAUGAAAGUUAUUAUUUCCAGGACUCUGGAGUAAUCUAUGACAAUAGAUGAUGCGGUGUGGGACGAUUCCAGGUUCUGACCCGUGGAGGACUGAAUGCCUGACUACAGGACAAGUGGACAAAUCUGGAUCUUUCAUCAUUGUGGAAUUUAUGUUUGAUGAGACUAGUGUUGAGGAUAGAAUUAGAUUGUACUUUGUUUCAAUAUUAGACUGUUUUUUAAUAAAAAGAUUGUAACGAAAAUCCUGAAAGAAGAGUUAUGAUUCUGAUGUAGGUUUAAAAACAGUAGGAGUUAAGGUUAGAUUUGAGUAAAUAUGGGUGAAGAGCCGGAUAAACAUUUAUAAUAAUGUGUCUAUUCAUAUGAUAAUCUGAUAAACCUUUAUAAUAAGGUUAGUAUAAGUAGGUUAAUAUUUUUAUUUUUUAUGUUUAAUAAAACUAGAUGUAGAUUUGAAUGUAUAAUAUUUGAUCAAAGGGAAAUGACUAAUUAUGUAUACAUUCCAAUCAGAACUGACUAGUCCAAAUGCUAUAAUGUACUGUACAUAUGAAUAUUCUCUCUUGCUCCCAUUCCCAAUUGUAUAUAAUGUAGUCAGGAGUUUAGUAACAAUGAAGGUCUGUUCCUUAGUUCAUUCAGUUGUACAAUCUCCAGGUGGCAGGAACGGCCGAUCUCCAGACUGUCUAGAAUGCUGAUUUAUACUGACUGACCUUGACUUCGUGCUGAUAACGCGAAGGCUCGAGAGCUAGAGAGCCCCUCUACUGGUGAAAUAGAUAGAACGUUUAGAAAACGCUGAUGUCAUUUUCAGUUUAUAACCUGUGGAAAUAUGUGUAUGUGGCAGUACUCUCUUGCAAUAAACGCUGUUACCUGGCUUUUAAGACUGGUCUCGAUCUACUUCAUGCAUAAUUAAUGAAUUUAC